UGCUUCUUCUAGCCUUUCGUUUUCCUCAAUCCAUUCACCUGACUGGUAGAGCAAGCUCUUCCACUUUCAAAGGAGAAAAACUAGAGUCUUCUACCUCCCUCCUGUUCCAGAUGACCAAACAAUAUAAUUUUAUCAUAUUAUCCUUGGAACAAUCCUCUUAACAAAAGACUUUAAAAGCAAACGUUGCAUUCUGGACAAAAUAGGUACUUUCGAAUUGGUCUCCUUUACCAUCAUCGGAAAAUGGGAGAAUAAGAACAUAAUUUCUUCUAAUCCAUGAAGCUUUCCUCAUCCAAUUUUUUUCUUGUUGUCCCUUCCAAUCUCCUUUGCUUUAUGGAGUCCCCCUCUGCUAAUCCGUCCCAUUCUUUGUUUUUUUUUUAAGGAAGGAUCCUUUUAUAGAACAGGGAUAAUCAGUGGUCAUUUUGGAAACACUAGAUUCUCAGCAACAAUAACACAGAAUUCUCAACAUGCAAUCCCAAAGAGUACGGAAAUCAAUCUUCAAGUAUUGAUUAAAACCAGUUGAUACGUAGUCGUCAAAUCCUCAUGUUACAAGCAGUCGUUGUUUGAACACCAGCCCCAGCAAACAUGAAUACGAGCAUUACUGGCGAGAAAACUACGUGUCAAGGUCUCAAGCUUGCUGCACAGCCCACCAACAAGGAGAUUUGUUCUCCUAAAACUAGUUGGACUCUUCAUUGCAUCCUUUUCGCCAUUUUUUUAAAACUACCAUGGUAUUUUUAAUUGAGUUAAUCGAGAGAGAAAAGUUCUGCGU